rnacentral:rRNA from 1 species
UACAGAGGUCUCAAGCGUUGUUCGGAUUCAUUGGGCGUAAAGGGUGCGUAGGUGGCGGGGUAAGUCAGGUGUGAAAUUUCGGAGCUCAACUCCGAAACUGCAUUUGAUACUGCCGUGCUUGAGGACUGGAGAGGAGACUGGAAUUUACGGUGUAGCGGUGAAAUGCGUAGAUAUCGUAAGGAAGACCAGUGGCGAAGGCGGGUCUCUGGACAGUUCCUGACGCUGAGGCACGAAGGCCAGGGGAGCAAACGGG